GUUUAAUUGCAUGUUAUUGGCUUGCUGCUGUGGUUGUUUAGCAUUUGAUUGGAUUUGUUGUUUGACUAUACAAAUGUUAUUGUUAUUUGGCUGUAAUUGCGGAUAUUUUGAUUGCAUUUGCAUAUUCAAAACUUAAGAGAACUAGUGCCCUCCCAAAUCAAGAAUCAAACCAAAUCGAAAUAGUCAAUUCAGUUUCUUAUCUAAAUUGGUUUUGGUUUGAUUCUCAUAUUUUCCUACUUCAAUUAUUUGGUUUUUUCGUUUCAGUUUAAUUCAAAACCGAA
rnacentral:misc_RNA from 1 species